rnacentral:rRNA from 1 species
GGGGAAUAUUGCACAAUGGGCGCAAGCCUGAUGCAGCCAUGCCGCGUGUAUGAAGAAGGCCUUCGGGUUGUAAAGUACUUUCAGCGGGGAGGAAGGCGAUAAGGUUAAUAACCUUGUCGAUUGACGUUACCCGCAGAAGUAGCACCGGCUAACUCCGUGCCAGCAGCCGCGGUAAUACGGAGGGUGCAAGCGUUAAUCGGAAUUACUGGGCGUAAAGCGCACGCAGGCGGUCUGUCAAGUCGGAUGUGAAAUCCCCGGGCUCAACCUGGGAACUGCAUUCGAAACUGGCAGGCUGGAGUCUUGUAGAGGGGGGUAGAAUUCCAGGUGUAGCGGUGAAAUGCGUAGAGAUCUGGAGGAAUUCCGGUGGCGAAGGCGGCCCCCUGGACAAAGACUGACGCUCAGGUGCGAAAGCGUGGGGAGCAAAC